rnacentral:rRNA from 1 species
CCUACGGGAGGCAGCAGUGGGGAAUAUUGCACAAUGGGCGCAAGCCUGAUGCAGCCAUGCCGCGUGUGUGAAGAAGGCCUUCGGGUUGUAAAGCACUUUCAGUCGUGAGGAAGGUGGUAGUGUUAAUAGCACUAUCAUUUGACGUUAGCGACAGAAGAAGCACCGGCUAACUCCGU